GCCGCAAUAGCUCAGCUGGUAGAGCACGUCAUUCGUAAUGACGGGGUCGCAGGUUCGAGUCCUGCUUGCGGCA
rnacentral:tRNA from 1 species